GACGAACGCUGGCGGCGUGCUUAACACAUGCAAGUCGAACGGAAAGGCCCUGCUUGCAGGGUACUCGAGUGGCGAACGGGUGAGUAACACGUGGGUGAUCUGCCCUGCACUUCGGGAUAAGCCUGGGAAACUGGGUCUAAUACCGGAUAGGAGCCAUUUUUAGUGUGAUGGUUGGAAAGUUUUUUCGGUGUAGGAUGAGCUCGCUGCCUAUCAGCUUGUUGGUGGGGUAAUGCCCUACCAAGGCGGCGACGGGUAGCCGGCCUGAGAGGGUGGACGGCCACAUGGGGCCUAAGGGAGGCCCCCGAAUCCACGGGCAGGCAGUGGGGGGAAUCAUGGCGGAAUGGCGCCGAGCCUGUGGCGGAGGCCUCGGGUGGGGAAAGCCGGCUUUUGGGUUAAAAACACAUUUCGAAGGGGAUGAACCUUUUUGGACGGGUCCUAAGAAAAAAAGCACGGGCAAACUAGGG
rnacentral:rRNA from 1 species